CGAAAUCCAAGCAGGCUUGCUAUUUCCCGAAGCUGAACCUGCAACAGAAGCAGCAAGCAAGGAAAGACCAAGGCUGCGAUGAGGUCGAGAACCAGAUUGACUCCGCAGACACUACUUCAGAAAGCAGCAUCCAUCAUCAUCAGAGACUGACACCACCCAGAACAUGAUCUCUCCUCACUGCGGCCAUCAGGAAGAAGAUACAAGUAACUUAGAACCUGCACCACCAGGUUCAGGAACAGCUAACACCCCUCAACCAUCCGGCUCUUGGACAAAGGUGACAAUUUCACUUGCUCCAUCAGAGAAAUGUUCCCAGAACCAAUGGACUCACUUUCAAGGACACUUCAUCUCACAUUCUUGAUAUUUGUUGCUUAUUUAUUUAUACUAUUGUUUCUUCAUUUUGCAUUUGCACCGUUUGUUAUCUUCUGCACUCUGGGUGAGAACUCUAGUGGUCAUUCAUUGACUCUUUUACAGUUACAGACUCUUCUACUCUUUUAUAAAUUUGUUGAGUAUGCUCCCAAGAAAAUGAAUCUUAGGGUUGUAUAUGGUGAUAUAUAUGCACUUUGAUAACAAAAAUUUACUUUGUACUUUGAAUUCAUAACUGUGGCAAUUCCCACAUUUAUUCUUUCAGUACUAUGUGCUGCCGAUCCCCUGUCAUACUUUUUAAUGAAACUUCUCAUUCUAUCACAGCCAACUCAGUCCUUAAACCUUUAUUGUCCACUCUGUCUAAAUUUAAGAUAGGUACUGAAAUACUUCCAUUUCCAUCUUAAUUAAAUUUCAUCAUGGUUCCCAAACAGACUCAACAAAACAAGAUUAACUAAACACUUCUCGUUGAGCAAUACCAAACUAGAAUAACAAUUUCCUUGUUGACUUUUCAACAUAGUGCUUUAAAUAAAAUCUUGUACAUAGUCCAAACAUUUAUCCUUCAUGGUAUUGCUGCUCAUUUGUUUUGCAUUAUCUAUAUGUAGAUUAAAGUCACCUGAUAAUACUGAGCUAUCUUUGUCCCCGAGUUCCUUGAUUUCCUGUUUGAUGCCAUUCCUCAACCUGCUAUUAUUGGCUGGAGGCCCAUAAACAACUCCCACCAAAAUGCUCUUCCUCAUGGUGAUUCUUAGCUCAAGCCAAACCGAUUAUUUAAUAUUUUUCUAAAUUAACCUUCACUCACCCGGCAAGCCCACAUGACACUUAAAAUAUCAAAUGGCAUAGGUAGAGAGUCAUACAGCGCAUGAACAGGCCCUUCAGCCCAUCAAAUCCGUACAAACCAUCAAUCACCUGUCUAAUCUCAAUUUCCUUUCGCAUCCCCCUCAACUUUGUCCCUGCCCCCGAUUUUUCCUGUAGCCCAUUUACACACUCAGGGCAAUUUAUAAUAGCCAGUCACUCUGCCAACCUGAUAGGAAACACAGCAUCGGGAAAACUUAUGUGGUCACAGGAAGAACAUGCAAAUACCACACUUAAAUUCAGGUUUGAACAUUCAGCACCCAAGAUCGGAAUCGAACCUCGAAACCACAAUGCACUGUGCCACUAUGCCACCCCUGUCCUUGAGGCUUAAUCCCGCUCUUGAACAAUCACCCGGUAGUCACAUUUCUAUAACGGGAAUUGUACUGCAUCCAUUUGCAUCUAUCAGCAUUAGUAUCGCAGGGUAAGGCUGAAAGAAUUAUAUAUGUAUUUGUAUUGUGGAGAAGCAAGUAAGAAACAAUCGUACUGCUGAACCAGGUGAACAGAUCAAAGAAUUCAAUUAAUCUAUCAUUAAUUGCUUUCAGGAAAUACAGUUAGCCUUUCUUGAUUAAUCCAACCUUUGUACAUGUGCAAACCACCAGCAGGAAGUAAAUCAAGGGAGAUUUAGCAACUCAGUUCCAAUAUAAUCUGAUUUAAGGUCAUCGAUCACCUGAAAGGGUAAUGUGAAUUCUUUCUUCAGACUUGUUGCCUUACCUGCUAAAUGUUAUCGAUCUUGGUCCAUAAUCCAUUCCAGAUUGGAGUAAAAAUACAAAAUGCUGGAAACUUAGUAAGUCAAAUAGCAUAAUUCCUGACAAAAGAUCCUUAAACUGAAACAAUAACCCUGUUUCUCUUUCUACAAAUGCUACCAACCUGCUGAGUGUUUCCUGUAUUUUCAGUUUCCUUUCUGAUUCAUAGAAUCUCCAGCUUUUUCAAGCAAAGGAAACAGUCAGUGUUUGGGAUCGAUACUGUUAAUGAGUCCUGAGGAAGGUUCCUGAAGCUGGUGGUGAGAGUCCUGAGGCUCCUGUACCACCUUCCUGCUAGCAGCAGUGAGAGGAGAGCAGGUCUGUGAUGGUGGGGGGUCCCUGAUGACGGAUGCUAUUUUCCUGCAACCGUGUUUCAUGUAGAUGUGCUCAGAGUUUGGGAGGGCUUUGCACGUGGUGGACUGGGCAGCAUCCAUUACUUUUUGUAACAUUUUCCAUUCAGGGGCGUUGGUGUUUCCAUACCAGGCUGUGAUGCAGACAGUCAAUAUACUCUCCACUACACAUCUGUGAAGUUUGUCAAAGUCUUAGAUGUCAUGCCGAAUCUCCACAAACUCUUAAGGAAGUAGAAGCGCUGCUGUGCUUUCUUCGUAAUUACACUUGGGUGCUGGGUCCAGGGCAUUUGCGACAAUUAAAUUUUUAUAUUUUGAUGGCAAGAGGAAUCAGGGGUAUUGGUUUUUGAAGGGCUCAGCAAUAAAGCAAGAUUGAGAAACAUGUGUCCUUUACUUUUUAAGCAUAGGCCACUGGAGAGUGUUGAGGAUAUCAAAUAGACGAACAGAAGGGAAGUGGGAAGGUUUUGUUCAAUAAAAACUCACCUCAAUAGCUCACAAACUUUAACGAGCAGUGAAGGAAUUGGCAUUGAGGGAACCUUUGGUUUCUGCAUUAGGGGAUUGAUGAACUUUGAAUGAGUACUGAAGCUAGUCCAACAGUUGAUAAAGGAUUAAAAUGAUAUGUGGAGAAACUUAGAUGAAGUUGGGGGGUGGGGGGUGGUUCAUGUGAAUUGUAAAUGGUGUUUCAAACAUGUUGGGUCAAAUUGCUAGCUUUGAAAAUUACAACUGAUCUGGAGUUUCACUCAGCUUUGGACAGUGCAUUUCCCCCACUAUUGCAAGCUGCAUUUAGCACAGCUCGAGCUUCUGCAAUCUUUGAAAGGACAGCUGCAUUCUGUUACAACAGUUUUAUAAAUUAGAGCAUGGGGUUCCAGCCUGGGGUCCAUGGAUCCCUUGGUUAACGGUAAGAGGCCAUGGCAUAAACAGGGUUGGGAACUCCUGAGCUAGAAUGAUGACUGUGUAAUUCCCCUGUCAUUUGCCUGGUGGCCACACUACUGUAAGUGGAUAAUGCUGAUACUAUGCACAGCAUUUACACGUAACUAUCCUCCACUCACUGCAUUUUCUCCGGCAUUCCCUCACUUUUAAUGGGAGAAACUGCUGUAGAUUCCGUCUCCUCAGUGCUUUGAACAGAUUUUGUUUGCCAACCAUUGUGGCUCAAUAAACGGUUGUUUUUGUCACAAACCUCUACUGACAGCAGUGCAUCUGUCAAUGGAAAAAAAAACUAUAAAAAAAUGCCAGAAGUAGACUUUAUCCAUAGCAUUGGC